rnacentral:rRNA from 1 species
CUACGGGCGGUUCCAGUGGGGAAUAUUGGACAAUGGGGGAAACCCUGAUCCAGCAAUGCCGCGUGUGUGAAGAAGGCCUGCGGGUUGUAAAGCACUUUCGGUUGGGAGGACUGCUUCUAGCACUAAUAUUGUUGGAAGUUGACGUUACCUUCAGAAGAAGCACCGGCUAACUCCGUGCCAGCAGCCGCGGUAAUACGGAGGGUGCAAGCGUUAAUCGGAAUUACUGGGCGUAAAGCGCGCGUAGGCGGCUAGAUCAGUCGGGUGUGAAAGCCCCGGGCUUAACCUGGGAACUGCAUCCGAUACUGUCUAGCUUGAGUACAGGAGAGGAGAGUGGAAUUCCACAUGUAGCGGUGAAAUGCGUAGAUAUGUGGAGGAACACCAAUGGCGAAGGCAGCUCUCUGGCCUGAUACUGACGCUGAGGUGCGAAGGCGUGGGGAGCAAACAGGAUUAGAUACCCCUGUAGUC